rnacentral:lncRNA from 1 species
GAAGCUUGAAGGCUCAGUGUUUCAUCUGUGUGCUUCUCUUUUAUUCAAGAGUGCAGCUGAUUGAUUUAUUUUCCUGGAAAUAUAUGUACGGGGCAGAAUACCUUAGCAGAUAAUAUGAUAAUUGCUUAUAUUAAAUAAAUCCUUUGAUUCAUGGAGAGUUAAAAGACCUCAUUAAAAAUUCUCUUUCUGAGUUAGAUUUAGAUGGUCAAAAAAAAAAAAAAGCAUGACAGAUUGGAGAUAAAUCUUUUAAAAUCAGACACUCUUUGUAGUAUGUGAUUUAUGGAUUAUAUUGUGACUGACUUCCUUUUAGUAAGAAUGUCGUGAUAGGAAGCAGUAUAUAACUACUUUCUUUAAUGUAUCAAAUGCCUAAAGGAAGUGAAUAUUAAAUAUAAAGGACACAUGCUCCACAAUGCUGGAGCAACCACAUGCAUUCUUCUUUUGAAAUUCCCUAAGAGAAUACACUUUUGUAUCUUGCAAAGCCAAGUGGUUGUGGUUAACCUUGAAGUGUUCAGCAAAUGAAAGAUGCUUGCAAUUUGUAGCCUUAGCAUGGCUGAUCAAGUUUGAUAUUGAACCAUAGUGCAACUUGGAUGGUGCUUUUCAGAAUGCCUAAUGGCCAUUUUUCUAGGAAAGACAAAGUUACCAUAAAUUUAAAAAUUUGUAGCCUUAGCAUGGCUGAUCAAGUUUGAUAUUGAACCAUAGUGCAACUUGGAUGGUGCUUUUCAGAAUGCCUAAUGGCCAUUUUUCUAGGAAAGACAAAGUUACCAUAAAUUUAAAAAUGUAUUUACUCUCUAUAUAGAACCACACUGAAAAAUUUCAAGGCUGAGCUAUUUGCCAUCCAUAUUUUGGUAAUUUUGACUGAGACUCCAUUCUGUUUACAGUGACCCACUUGCUAAUGACAGUCAUUGCUUUUGGAUGGCUUGACUUGGACCCAAUGGCCUAACUCAUCUUCUGCCCCUGCAUCUGAGUGCAUAGCACAUGUUUUCUACUUCAGUUGUGUUUGUGCUGAUAUCCGAGAAGGCAGUUGUUAUGUCGAUUGCCAUCUGGUUCUCUGGACACGAGUCUGUCUUCUGCUGAGUAAUAUUAGAUUAUCAGGAAACUACACUUGGAGCCCCUUAGCUGAAACCCUUUCUGAAUUAUGAAUACUUUGAGCUAUACUUUUGCCCAAGGUUUGUUUUUAUAUUACUUCUUAUUAAAAAGAGUAAUGUAAAAUGUCCUUUGUCUGUCUUUGAGACUAUUGCAUGUUACUUCCUUUUGCAGUCCAUAUAUAAAACAAAACGUGAAAAUUUUCUUUAUAGAUGUAAAAACCCUUUGCUUUCUUUGCUAAAGAAUUCAUUUUCAUUUUAUAAAGAAUAAGAGGUAGAUAAUUCACUUGACACAGAGCCAACUUUGGAGAGUAACUUCAGCAGUCUGUCAAGAAAAUUGGUGAGUUAAUUGAAACCUGUUAUGUAUACUAGUAGUUAGCAAACUGUGUGGCUCACUUAACACCUGCCUUUUAAAAUAAGAUGAUACUACAAUGUAGCCAAACUAGUUCUUUCCUUUUUAAGAUUGAUUUUAGUUUUAAUUGUGUGUAUGUGUCUGUCUGUGUAUGGGGAUGUGUAGGUACUGCAGAGACUAGAAAAAGAUGUACUAUCCCCUGGAGGUGGAGUGACAGGCAGUGUUGAGUCACCCAGCUUGGAUGCUGGGAACUGAAUUCAGGUUCUUUGUAAAGCCAGUAUGCAUGGAUCCUUCUAAUGACUGAGACAUCCCUCCAGCCUUUGAGAGUAUCUUUCUGUUCUUUUUUCUUUUUAAAUUAGUUUCUUAAAUAUUGUCUACAGUUGCUUUUGUCUGACAAUGGCAUAUCUAAGUAAUUAAUGUCUGGCCCCUUACUGAAAAUGAUUUCUGGUAAAUGAACCUGGGAUGGUGUGAGUCAGACCAAAGGCAAUAAAGAAGAAAGGCAAUUAGUGUUAGUUGUAGCCAGCUGGGAAAGGCUUCCCAGAUGUGUUGUGAAAAGAAUUUAGUCUUAAGUAGUGGGAGCAUAUAGAGGGUAGUCCAUGUGGGUGACUGUCUCAAAUCAAGUCACUUGGGAGUGAGCAGAUUGUGAGCUCCUGGGACUAUUUGGAAAACUCCUUCACCUGGGUUGGGAUUACAGCUGAGAAAAUGAAGGUGAAUGGCUAACUGUUGAUAGACAGCUCAGAAGCUAGGCAUAGACUUUUACACUUCAUCUGUAAGGCAGCUGAAAACCUUAGAGUUCUCCACAGGCCAAGAUGUAGUAGUAGAAACUGUUUGAGGAGAGCCAAUCAGACAGAGGUACAGGGAGCACACUCCAGCUCUGAGAGCUCCAAGACUGACCAGGUACUGGAGAAAGCCCAGAGGGAAGGAGCGAGUCUCCUAGGGUAAAGGGGGAUAGUAAUGCGGGGCUAGAACCCCAGUGCACUGUGACUGAGUUCAGAGAGUGGUGGUGAGGGGAAACUGAGAGGAAGGUGCACUGCAUGGUUAGUAGCUCUUCUGAGAGGAAGAGCAGGCUUGUUUGGACAGCUGAGGUCUGCUGCCUUUGGAACUCAUAGGGGCGAGUUUGGAAUUGUUGGAAGAUCUGGGACUUAAUGCUAGCUAUGAGUUCCCACUGAGGGACAAGGACAGGCUGAGAGGCUGGGUGUCAGAAAGUACGGAGGAAAGGGGUGCCCUCUGUAGAGAAGUGUCUCAUGUGUGUCUGGGAAAGACUGCCGGGGAGCAGCCACUUCCUUGAUUGCAUGAUCAGAUGCAUGUGUCUCAUAAACUCUGGGUUAAGCAAUGUUAGAUUUCUUGCUUUUGGUCCUCUUAAGUUCUUUAAUAAAUUUAUGUCACUAUUUAUUUCUCUGGUUAAAUCCUUUCCUGGUUUAGAUUCACAUGCCUUGUUUAAAAAU